rnacentral:rRNA from 1 species
UACGUAGGGUGCGAGCGUUAAUCGGAAUUACUGGGCGUAAAGCGUGCGCAGGCGGUUUUGUAAGCCAGAUGUGAAAUCCCCGGGCUUAACCUGGGAAUGGCAUUUGGGACUGCAAGGCUGGAGUGUGGCAGAGGAGACUGGAAUUCCUGGUGUAGCAGUGAAAUGCGUAGAGAUCCGGAAGAACACCGGUGGCGAAGGCGGCCUGCUGGGCAGUUUAGCUGACACUGAGGCGCGACAGCGUGGGGAGCAAACAGG